AAGUUGUUGCAGUUAAAAGCUCGUAGUUGAAUUUCGGGAUUGACGUGACGGUCGUGCCUUAAGGGGCGUGAACUGUCGCCGUUGAUUUCUCACCUUCUGGAGAAGCUCGAUGUCCUUAAUUGGAUGUCUUGUGGAACCAGGACCUUUACCUUGAAAAAAUUAGAGUGUUUAAAGCAGGCAUUUUGCUCGAAUACAUUAGCAUGGAAUAAUAGAAUAGGACGGCAUGGUUCUAUUUUGUUGGUUUCUAGGAUCACCGUAAUGAUUAAUAGGGAUAGUUGGGGGCAUUAGUAUUCAAUUGUCAGAGGUGAAAUUCUUGGAUUUAUUGAAGACUAACUACUGCGAAAGCAUUUGCCAAGGAUGUUUUCAUUAAUCAAGAACGAAAGUUAGGGGAUCGAAGACGAUCAGAUACCGUCGUAGUCUUAACCAUAAACUAUGCCGACUAGGAAUCAGACGAUGUUAAUUUUUUAAUGACUCGUUCGGCACCU
rnacentral:rRNA from 1 species